rnacentral:lncRNA from 1 species
AGAAAGGUUCGAGUCAGGAGAGCGACAGUAUCUGGAUACGUGUAAUUAUGGGAUUAGACAUAGCUCAAAGUAAGCCGGAGAGCGUCUUUUUCAUUCUUGAUUAUUUACGCAUUUGCCUUUAUAUAUACCGAAUAUUCGUUUCCAAUAUAUACUUGUAAAAGUCGCAGACUCAAUCCAAAAACAAUAAUAAUUCUUCUGAUUUAUUUGACAUUUACUUUUAGUUAUAUACACUGUAACAUCAACUCAGCUGUGGAUAAUAUCAUAAUAUUCAUCUAAUCUACCGAUGAUAACAUAUCUUUUCGUGUGCGGAUAAAACGAGUUUUGCUUUGGUUUGGAUAACAGCUUUUCAUAGUGAA